rnacentral:rRNA from 1 species
AGCAGCCGCGGUAAUUCCAGCUCCAAUAGCGUAUAUUAAAGUUGUUGCAGUUAAAAAGCUCGUAGUUGAAUUUCGGGAUCAAUUAAUUGGUCGUGCCUAUGGUACGUACUGAUUUUAUUGGUUUCCCCCCUUCUGACGAACCAUGAUGUCAUUAAUUUGGUGUCGUGGAGAAUCAGGACUGUUACUUUGAAAAAAUUAGAGUAGUUUAAAGCAGGCUAACGCUUGAAUACAUUAGCAUGGAAUAAUGAAAUAGGACGUUUGAUCCUUAUUUUGUUGGUUUCUAGGAUCGACGUAAUGAUUAAUA